UACGGGGGGUGCGAGCGUUGUCCGGAAUCACUGGGCGUAAAGGGCGCGUAGGUGGCGUGAUAAGGGUGUGGUGAAAGCCCGGGGCUCAACCCCGGGUCUGCCAUGCCGACUGUCAGGCUCGAGUGCUGUAGGGGCAGGCGGAAUUCCGGGUGUAGCGGUUGAAUGCGUAGAGAUCCGGAAGAACACCGGUGGCGAAGGCGGCCUGCUGGGCAGUAGCUGACGCUGAUGCGCGACAGCGUGGGGAGCAAACAGG
rnacentral:rRNA from 1 species